rnacentral:lncRNA from 1 species
AUGGUCCUCACAAGAAAGAACUAUAUGGACCUGGGAAUAGCACCAAUAUCACCUCAGGGGGAGAGGGAGCCCCGAAGGAAGCAAAGUAAAAUCACCAAUUACUUCCCCCAUAAAGAAGGGAAUAAGAAUCCACAGCACGAGGGCACUCCAAAAGAAAUUGCCCCUACUGUGCUGGAUUGGUCAUUACAACGCAAAGACUUACAAACUAAGCAUGAAAGACCAAAUUAUUCCAUGAGCUGGGCGCAGGAACUGGAUCUAGCUGAGAACGCCUUGAUAACCAAUUCCCCCAACCCCAAUGACCUCAAGCACCAAAAAGCAACUCAGAAUCUCAGGGAAAACCAGCAAGACCCCCAUAAUCUUAGGGAAAACCAGCAAGACCCUCAGCCCUCAGUGAAUGCCAACAGUAUAGGAGAGAGGGGUGACCAGUUACACAAUCCAAGAGAUCAGAUACGCACAGACCUCUACAAUAUAAAAAACUUCCUAGCAGUAACAAAUGGCCUACUCCUGACGCUUGUGGAGAAUUUCAAACAAGCAAAAAGAGCCACAGAUCAGACCCUGGACACAGUUGCUAGAAUCCACAUACCACCCAAAAAGAACUCACGCAAAAGAAAACCGGAACCCAAGACUAAGAAAACUAAAAACAUCAAAAACUUUAAGCCGUCUAGAAAAACCCAACAUAUCAGCAAAAAACAGUGGCAGAAACUCUUCAACUUAUUAUCAUCACCUCCUAUAUCCACAAAAAAAAUCAAAGCUCAAGGCACCAAAGAGAUCGACAAGGGAGACUCGUCAAAGACCAAACCCCUCCCCAUAUGUGAAAAUAAUUCCCCAAGUACAUUCCAAGAAAUAAGCCCCCCCACGGCUGUUCUCCCCCUAUGUUCGCCCAGCCUGACAAAAGCAACCAAUCCACAGCUGGAUGCUCCUGUCUUGAACCCACCUAGGACCCCUGUAGCAACUGCAAACAGAAGCAAGUUGGGGAUCCCCAAUAUAGAUGGGAACCCGCAGGAACUCCAAGCCCCCAGUAGAAAGAAAGAAUGGAUCCUGGUCCUAAGCCCGGAAAAGAUGGUAUUCACGAACUAUCCAAAACCACUGGGUCCUCGCACAGGGACAGACCGCGUGAGGCACCUGCUGACGAUUAUAAACAACAUUCUACCUGGGGCAGUUAAAGCAACUGGCAUAGACAGUAUAGACUACCUAUAUCAAGAUGGACAUUCAGUCCGUGCCCUGAUCACUUUCACAGAUCAUAAUCUGGUCAACUUCAUCUUUAGAACAAGAAAUCUAUUUUUAAAGAAAGGAAUAGAUUUAUUAAGAAUCUUUGAAAACAGAGCUCCGCUAACCUCCCUACUGGCGGUCAAGGGGGAAGGGAGACCGGGAACAGAGGAACAAAAUGAUAGAGUGCAUAUGCAACAAAACCAGCAAAACCAGAGCCUAGUGCACCAGCAGGAAAACAUAGCCCCCAUUGAGACUCAACUUCAUUUGAACGACAGAGAGGACUUUUUCUCCAUGGAAGAACAUGCCCUAAUAAAUCGGUUCUGGUCACUGCAGAUGCCAGCCCAAAAGGAAAUCUUGGUUAGAUUGGACACCCUGAGAAGCAGACUGACCAAAAAGGAGACCCAUGUUGAGACUACGGAAGGCUCACACACACGGCCUAUAUCCCCCAAAUGCCUAGUGGACAAGAGGACGGUGGGAGGCGCCUUUAAAUGUGUAGAUUCGGAAGACCAAUCGCAGCCCCCGCUGGUGUAUGGUAAGGCAAAACUAAAACAGACUGUCACGUCUCCGAGUACCUGGUUCAACUAUCUAAAACUCUCCCCAAAUGAAAUAGCUACCCCCCCAAGUCCAAACCACCCCCUUAAGUCCCCAAGAGUUAUGGAUAAUCAUUCCCUUAUGCAGCAGAUGCCUAUUGACAAACUUAAUGGGAGUGUUUUUUUAGACGUAAAGGGGUCAUUGGACACCGUGGACCCAACAAAUCUACACCAUGGAGGGACAAAGAAUUAA